UACGUAGGGUGCGAGCGUUAAUCGGAAUUACUGGGCGUAAGGCGUGCGCAGGCGGUUCGUUGUGUCGGCGGUGAAAGCCCCGGGCUUAACCUGGGAACGGCCGUUGAAACUGGCGAACUGGAGUGUGGCAGAGGGGGGUGGAAUUCCGCGUGUAGCAGUGAAAUGCGUAGAGAUGCGGAGGAACACCGAUGGCGAAGGCAGCCCCCUGGGCUAACACUGACGCUCAGGCACGAAAGCGUGGGGAGCAAACAGG
rnacentral:rRNA from 1 species